ACGUCGAUCAGACACCUAUGCCAAGAGUCAUGCCAAUUACAAGUUUGAAGAGAAAGCACAAGGAGCUCAAGCGGACCUUAAGGGGCAAUCAGUGGAUGCCUUGCCAAUCUAGGUAUGGGGUGUGUGAGAUAGCCUAUGAUACGUAGGUCUAUUGUUACUAGGGACCUUGCUCCUAACGACUUAUAGCUCUGCUUUAUAAAAUUAUGCCUUUAGGUUGUAUUGCAUGUUAUAAUGGAGAAAUUUGUUAUCUGCCAAUUGUGUGAUUACUUCAGAGAUUUUAAAUAGAUCUCUAGAUGGCCACGGAGCUACAAGGUAAGGUAGCUCUUAGAGCUACUUUAUAGGCCAUGAUUAAAGGUCAAGGAACAAGAAUUAUCUUAAUAUUAUGGAUGUGUGCGUAUUGUAAAAACUAAUGUUGGAAGUGCAUUAACCCCUGUAAAUAUGAAUUUAGAAUCUAUUCAUGAUUUGAAUGCUUGACUUUAUGUAUAAUAUGAUUACUUAGAAGUUAGAUAUACAUAUGACAUGAAAAAUGUGAUUCUUUGCCAUGUCUAGUAUCAUUGUUGAUCGCAAUUGUGGUUACUAAUCUUGACUUUGAAUCCUUUGAAUGAUUGGGUUAUAUGCACAGCAUCUCAUUCCUACCACAUUAUAAGUGAGUUAGGAGUCAUUCUUUAAGUCGCUUGAAGCUACACAAUUAAGAUUGACAUGUAAGAUAGUUAUAUCUCUUACUAUUAAAGCAAAAAAGUUGUGCAAUUAAAUUUUCACACCUUUUUUUAACGCAAAUCCAGCCCAAAUUCAUGUAACUUCAAUAUCAUAUCAUAACUAUUGAUAUAUUCAUAACAACAACAAAAAAGUGUCACUUAUGCAUCGCACGAGUUACCCACCUAGUUAUAUGCUAAUGUUAGAUAUGUGAAUUGUGUUAGUGUUGGUGUGAGAGUGCACUUGCUUGAAUCGUUGAUGUGAAUAUUGUUUGGGAAGAUUAAUGAUUUUGUUUCCUCAAGUUAACAAAGAUAAUUAUUGUUUGUGAAUCACAAAUUGCCCUUUUAACUCUAAAAUAAGUGGUUAGCUUAAUUUAUAAAUACUAGUAAAAAUAUGAGUUUUACGGCUUAUGAUGUGAGGUGGUUAGUGAAUCUUUUUGCAACUGACUUGUGUAGGGAAUACAGAACGUGAAACUUUUAUUUAAUAAUUGUCUCUAGUGCCUUAGGAGUUAUGAUAGGACAUGCUUUUGAAAUUUAUUUAAUAAGCAGACUCUGUAGUAGUGAAAAAGGUGACUUUAAUCCCAAAAUUGCUUGCUAGAAAAUUUUGACAGCGAAUGCCUUGCAUUGCAGAAAUUCAUGUGUAUAGGUCUAGAAGAACCAAGGGUUAGCCUUUUACAGUCUUUUAUUCCUAGGUGUCAUCCUUCCAACAUGUUUGAUCUCAUAUUUUUAGAAUUUCGUAGAAUAUUUGAUGAAUAUUUUGGUGGGACUUGUCUAACCUGUUUGGGAGCAGGACAAAUUAGUGUACAACCACUAUUUGGGCCAAAGUGGAAGGUGUAAUGUGUAAAUCACUUAUUAGAUUUGUAUUCCCUAUUUUCCUACACCUUGGGGGCACCUAAAGUCAGUCCUUCCCGAGUCCUUGACUAUGUCUAAGUUUAGGAAAAGUUAUGAAUUCUUAACCCUGUCAAGCAAGUAUGAUAGAAUCUUUUGUGUAAAUUUCCUUUCAUGCAAAUCAAAACUGGUACUGAUCUAAAAAAAUUAGCUUAAAACCUUUGGUAGUCAUCUAGAUUUACGUCACAGCUUUCCAAUUCAAGUGGUCUCACAAUAUUUAAAGGUCUGAAUAAUAUUUUAUGAAUAUAAUGCCAACAUGGCAAAUAUGUGAAAUUGCAGAAUUUUUCUGCAUAAUGUUGCGGGUAGGGUGUUUCUUUGGCUAGCUAAAGCCCAUGUCCCUUGUUAGGAAUGAUUAUAUUGUUCUUCUAAAUCCCUAACCAUAGUUAAGUGGAGGAAAAGUAAGAAACAUGAAACUAAUGAUUGAAGCCAGUUGAAAUUGUUAUAAAAAUUUGGCCGAUAAGACCUAAAGCUAAUUGAUUCGAACUCCUUCAUAGAAAUUUAGAUAUUUGCAUGACCUAACUCCUAUGCACAAGUGGUAGUAAGUUAGAGAAUCAUAAGCAACCUUAACCAAACUAUUUCCAAGGGAGAGUUUCAAGAAAUUAAAUGGAAUGACACAUGCUAUGACUGACAUUACCAGGUGGAUGUGCCAUGUGUAUAAAGAUAAUUGAUGUGCUUAUACCGGAUGAAUGCGUGCCACUAUGAUGUUUAUGUAGGAAUAAAGGUAUUCAUCAACACAUAUUGCGGAAUAAAAAGAUCUAUUUUGUAUUUAAAUUAUAUUAUAAACAAAUGACAUAUUAAAAAGUGUACCUGUUGAUGAGCUCUUGAAACAUAAAAAUUCUUCAAUAGUGAGAAGACUCUACGUGUAUCCACACCUAGACUGACCUCUAUUCGUCAACAACUUUGACAAGUGAAAAAAUAAGAAUAGAGUAGUGAUAUUGGAAUACUUUCAACGUGCAACCUAAGGCUCUAUUUAUAGCACGCUAAGGAUAUCAAAUUUCUUAUUAAAUCAAAAUCAUUAUUGAUAGUAUCCUUUUUAAGCUAUAUUAUUUCUUGUUACCUUUUAUUGCUAACCAUUUAGCAAUUAAAAUUGAAAUAAUAAUUGACCAAGUCAAACUUGUAUCUAGCCGCCUUUUCAACCCAAAUUCCAAAUACAAAAUCAUACAUGUUCAUUUCUCUUCUUUUACCAAAUUUUUCAUAUUAUUUAUAUUUUCAGUGCUAGCAAAAAUAUAAUAAUAUUCCACCUUUUUUAAAUCAAUUAAUUAUUUGAUCAUAUUAAAUUAUCUAAUUUAAUUAAUUAUCAAAUAUUAAAACAAUUUCUUUAACAGAGAUUAGAACACUCGUUUGUGUGUGACUCCGUAGGUUCAAUACUAAGUCAGUAAUAUAUUAAUCAAAUUAAUAUACUAAUCAAGGUAGACGUCUAGCAACACUCCUUAACGUCCGGAUAGCAUGAAGUAACAUUUUACUUUCAAGAACCAUUAGAAGAGUAGUGUAAUAAUUUAUUCCAUCUUUACAGCUUUAGGUUAACUCUAGAGUAUGAUAUUACUGUCAAACACUUUUUAGUUAACUCAUAAUGACUUAAGAAACUCAUUUCUUCUUUCAUUUAAUUUUCCUAGCCAUGAUAUAAUUUUAUUCAUAGAGCUCAAACUCAUUACCAAGAGUUGAUGGAUUCCUUCUUGAUUAAUCAUUAAUUCUACAGGUAUUUAAUCAUAUCAAAUAUUCAUUCAACAAGUGCUAUAAAGCAUUAGGUGUCCAAAAUAAAAAUACAACAAAUAACUUGUUAAUUACUAUAACAAUCUCAGGUCAAAGAAAGCUAUUAUACCUCUUCUUGAGAAUUUUCUAUUGAUAGUUUAUGGUAAAUUGUCAAUUGAAUCAGUUCAAUAAUCACAUCAACAUGUGACUCAUCUAUAUAUGCAAAUUAAUAAAUGAGAUCUAUUAAUAUUUAUCCAAUAAAUACUAUCACAUAUAUAUCAAUCUAUCUGGAUUAUUGAUAUCCUAUUUACAAUAAUCUUAUGAUCAAGAAUGAUUUAGAUUAAAAUUAAAACAAACCUGUGUGAAUGUAUGUAUACAUGAUUUUGAUGAUGUCAAAAGAAGAAUCAAACAAGGCUCAUUUGCUUCAAGAUUAAUACAAGAUUGUUUCAACAAAAAAAACCUUGAUUCAAGAUUUCUUCAAGAUCAAGCCUUGCCUCAAAACGAAAGAUUUCAAGUCAUCCAAGGCACAUGUAAUCGAUUACCAAUACAUGUAAUCGAUUACCAAUGGUUUGAAAGUGUGUAAUCGAUUACACAUCAUAUGUAAUCGAUUACCAGAGACUUUGAACAUUGGGAAUUCAAAUAUUAAAUGAAGAGUCACAAUUGUUCAAGAAAAAUAACUGUGUAAUCGAUUACACUAAUGUUGUAAUCAAUUACCAGAGAGGAUUUUCAAGGAAUAUCGCCAACAAUCACAUCUUAUCAUUUGGAUUUUGAAUGGCCAUCAAAGACCUAUAUAUAUGUGUGACUUGGCACGAAAUUAGUAGAGAGCUUUUCUGAACUGAAAUGCCUUAUCCUCUAAAAAAGAUUCCUUAGUCAAACACUUGCAUAUUCAAUAAGGAAUCUUGAUUGAUCUUCAAUUGUAAUAUCUUUCUCUUUCAAGAGAGAUUUCUUCUUCUCUUCUUCUUACUUUUGAAAAGAGAUUAAGAGACCGAGGGUUUCUUGUUGUAAAGGAUUCCUGAACACAAGGGAAGGAUUGUCCCUGUGUGGUUCAGACUUUGUAAAAAGAGUUUUACAAAGAGAGUGGAAAAUCUCAAGUGGGUUGUUUGAGGACUAGACGUAGGCACGGGAAGUGGCCGAAUCAGUAUAAAUCAAGUUUGUAUUUCUCUCUUCCCUUAAACUUCUUUUAUUUAUUGCUAUUUAUCUUUUGCUUUAAAGAAGUUUAUUUUGAAUUGUCUUUUGAGUAAUUCAUGUUAAGGGUGCAUUGUUAAUCCAAAAAGAGAAAGUGAAAUUUAAUUGGGGAAUAGUCUUUGUAUCUUAAUUCAACCCCCCAUUCUUAAGAUAACUGAGGCCAUUUGUCCAACAAGUGGUAUCAGAGCUGGAUUCUUGUAUAAAGUUUAAAAACUUCAAGAAUAGAUAUGGCCUCGUCUAACUUUCCAUUUCCUGAGGGAAAUUUUAUUAAUAGGCCUCUUAUGUUUAAUGGCGAGGGUUAUCACUAUUGGAAAACUCGAAUGCAGAUCCUUAUUGAAGCCAUAGAUUUAAAUAUAUGGGAAGCCAUUGAAGUUGGUCCCUUUAUUCCUUCAAAGUUAGUGGGAAAUGCAACUAUAGAAAAACCAAGAGAAGAAUGGAAUGAUGAUGAAAGAAGAAAGGUUCAAUACAAUUUAAAGGCCAAAAAUAUAAUCACUUCUGCAUUAGGCAUGGAUGAAUAUUUUAGAGUCUCAAAUUGUAAAAAUGCAAAAGAAAUGUGGGAUACAUUGCAAGUAACCUACGAAGGCACAACUGAUGUCAAGAGAUCUAGAAUAAACACUCUCACACAUGAAUAUGAAUUGUUCAGAAUGUUUCAAUAUGAGACCAUAGAAGAUAUGUAGAAGAGAUUUACUCAUAUAGUUAAUCAUCUUUCAUCAUUGGGAAAAAUAUUUCCUAAUGAAGAUCUUAUUAACAAAGUGUUGAGAUGUUUAAGCAGGCAAUCACAACCAAAAGUAACAGCAAUUGCAGAAUCAAGAGAUCUCACUAAUAUGUCUCUUGCCACUCUCUUUGGAAAACUUCAAGAACAUGAAAUGGAACUUAUUAGACUCUAUCAACAUGAAGAGAAUGAUAUAAAGAGAAAAGGAAUAGCACUCAGAGCCUCAUCAUCUUCUAUUCAAGAAGAAAGUGACAAAGAGGACUUGACUGAAAUAGAAGAAGAGGAUGAUGAUUUCAGAUUCUUUGUGAAGAGGUUCAAUAAAUUUCUGAGCAACAAAUGAAAUAAAAGGGAAUCAAACAUCAAUACAAGAAGAAAGAAGAAUAUUCGUCCUUAACCCCAAAAUGCUAUGAAAGCGAUCAACCUGUGCACAUGAGAUUCGAUUGUCUUGUCUUUAAAAGAAGAAAAGAAAAAUCCAACAAGAGGAAUCUCAAAGAAAAGAAAGCAUAAAUCACUUGGGAAGAUAAUGUCAUAAAUUCUUCAAGUGAUUCAAAGAAUAAAAUCAUAAGUUUGGGUAUCAUGAUGAAAAACUAUGAAAACAAAGAAGAGCAAAGUCGAUACAUUGAUAGCAAUUUCUCCAAACACAUGACAUGCAUCAAAGUUUAUUCAUAUUUCUCCCCAAGAUAAAUGGAAAUGUGAUUUAUGAAGACAACAAACAAAUGCCAUAUUUCUCCCCAAGAAAAGUGAAUAUGUCAUUUAUGGAGACAACAAACAAAGGCCACUUGAUCAACAAGCCCAACAAGUAAUAUCAAAUGAUACCAACAGGUCACUUGUCUUUGAUUGAUUACUUUUCAUGAUUUUUGUCUAUGAUUGUUAGCUUUUGAUUGAGUUUUGAUGCUUGUUUUCUGCUUAAAUUUUUUAUUGUCAUUGAUGAUUAUGAUUGAUAGUUAUGUUGAUUGUCUUUGAUAAUUUUUUUUAUUGUGUUUUGUUGAUUGCUUUUGAUUGUGUGUUUGAUUAAUUGUGUUUUUGAUUGAUGUGUUAUUGUACUUGUUUUUGCUUGAUUAAUAUUGAAUGAUUGUUUUAAUGCCUUUUGGUAUCACUUGAUUCUCAUACAUUGCAACAAGUGGUAACAUCUUUUUCCUCUCUAUUCAUGAUUUGUUUUUUAUGUUGACAAAGGGAGAGAGAUAGAUAAAAGAUAUAUGAAAUCUUUAUGAGACAACUUUUUAUAUAUGAAACCUAUGAAAUCUUCAUGUCUCAUAUAAGCAAUCAUUGCAAAACAAAGGGGGAAUAAAAAUAUAUACAAAUGGAUAUUUUCUUGUUGUUGUUGCUCCUAACCUACAGGUGAUUGUCAUCAUCAAAAAGGGGGAGAAUGUAAAUCAUGCAAGCUUUGAUGAUGUUGAGAAGAAAUCACAUGUUUGUCAUCAUCAAAAAGGGAGAGAAUGUGAAUGUAUGUACACAUGAUUUUGAUGAUGUCAAAAGAAGAAUCAAACAAGGCUCAUUUGCAUCAAGAUUAAUACAAGAUUGUUUCAACAAACAAAGCCUUGAUUCAAGAUUUCUUCAAGAUCAAGCCUUGCCUCAAAAUGAAAGAUUUCAAGUCAUCCAAGGCACAUGUAAUCGAUUACCAAGACACAUGUAGUCGAUUACCAAUGGUUUGAAAGUGUGUAAUCGAUUACACAUCAUAUGUAAUCGAUUACCAGAGACUUUGAACGUUGGGAAUUCAAAUAUUAAAUGAAGAGUCACAAUUGUUCAAGAAAAAUAACUGUGUAAUCGAUUACACUAAUGUUGUAAUCAAUUACCAGAGAGGAUUUUCAAGGAAUAUCGCCAACAAUCACAUCUUAUCAUUUGGAUUUUGAAUGACCAUCAAAGGCUUAUAUAUAUGUGUGACUUGGCACGAAAUUAGUAGAGAGUUUUUCUAAACUGAAAUGCCUUAUCCUCUCAAAAAGAUUCCUUGGUCAAACACUUGCAUAUUCAAUAAGGAAUCUUGAUUGAUCUUCAAUUGUAAUAUCUUUCUCUUUCAAGAGAGAUUUCUUCUUCUCUUCUUCUUACUUCUGAAAAGGGAUUAAGAGACCGAUGGUCUCUUGUUGUAAAGGAUUCCUGAACACAAGGGAAGGAUUGUUCCUGUGUGGUUCAGACUUUGUAAAAGGAGUUUUACAAAGAGAGUGGAAAAUCUCAAGUGGGUUGUUUGAGGACUGGACGUAGGCACGGGAAGUGGCCGAAUCAGUAUAAAUCAAGUUUGCAUUUCUCUCUUCCCUUAAACUUCUUUUAUUUAUUGCUAUUUAUCUUUUGCUUUAAAUAAGUUUAUUUUGAAUUGUCUUUUGAGUAAUUCAUUUUAAGGGUGCAUUGUUAAUCCAAAAAGAGAGAGUGAAAUUUAAUUGGAGAAUAGUCUUUGUAUCUUAAUUCAACCCCCAUUCUUAAGAUAACUGAGGCCAUUUGUCCAACAACUUGUUUCUCAUUAUCAUAAUCUCUAUUAUAAUAACAACUCUUUAAUUUUAAUCAAUGACAUUAUCAAAUGGACCAUUUAAUCAAAUAGUGAAAUAUGAUAAUGAAAAUAAAAUAAUACUUUAUUAUUAAAAUUAGAAUUGAUUACAUGAUGACUUGGAUCAUGGGCAUUCAAAUUUAUUCCUAACAGUUUAAAGUACUAUGAAUUCUUUUAUAGAUAUUAAUGAUCUUCUUGUUACAACACAUUGGUACACUUCCUAUUAUACCAUAUCUAUCAUGAUUAUUAAGUUGAGGUGUGACUAGGAAUACAAGUGAGAUAGUAGACUCGAAUGUUUUCUUUUUAUUUUUUUCUUGUGUAUAUGCCUAUUGAAUACACUCAUGCAUGGUAAAAUGUAAAUUGUACUUGGAUUCUGUUCUUCUAUGUGUUUGAUAAAUGUAAUAACAUUGCUUGUGGAACAUUACUAGUGCUCAAUGUUAUGUUUUGCAGAGAAUUGACUUUGCUUAGAGAAGUGUGAUCAUCAAUGAUGAACCAUAUUUGGAUUCCAUAUUGUAGUAUAAUCACUUGACGUGAUGGUAAUCUCUAUGUGUAACUAUC
rnacentral:lncRNA from 1 species